rnacentral:lncRNA from 1 species
ACGAGUAAGUCCGUAGGAUGUUUUAAUGGUUGAGUGCAUGUUUGGGUUGGAACCUCGAGGGCUCAAGUGAGUUUCAGAUAGGUGUUAGCUCAUUUUUGUUGCAUUUCCACUGCUGGUGUCUGCAGUCUUCGCAAAUGCGAACAUCCCUUGUUUGGCCCUGUCAUCGAAAAUGCGGUGUUUUUCUCGCAAAUGCGAUAUUCCCCCAUGGUAGCCAGACUUCGCAAAUGUGAAGUCUAAUUUUGCAAAUGCGAUAUUCCCCCAUGGCAGCCAGACUUUGCAAAUGCGAAGUCCAAUCUCGCAAAUGCGAGUUCUCCCUCUUCCUUGCCCAGCUCGCAAUUGCGA